rfam:Schistosoma mattheei strain Denwood, Zambia genome assembly, scaffold: SMTD_scaffold0014090
GCACUGCUGAGGAGUCCCAUACUAGAACGAAACGGCUGUCCAGUGC